AUGCACUCAGCCAAUAUUUGCAGAGGCCGGCACCUGCUAGAGAAAGGACACCUGAACCUUCAUGUUCUCCUCUCUCUGAACUUUCUGCAGGAGUAGGGACAUCCAGUAGUGGUACUCCAGGGACCAGUGACACACAGCCUGCAUCAAGUGAAGGUGAAGGGACACCCUGGACCACAUCAAGCACUCAGGGCACCAGUGAAACACAGGCCACUGAGACCAGGGAUACUCAGCCUGAAGGAAGUGAAAGGGGCCACAUCUAGCAUUCCAGGCCCCAGUGAAACACAGACCACUGAGACCAGGGAUACUCAGCCUGAAGCAAGCAGCACCCCCUCAUGUGUUAAAGCUGCCAGCACGACUCCAUUCAUGAUUCACCAGCACAGAGAUGAGCAGGAGAACGGAGGUUCUGGCCAGGACAGAAGCGAAGCGCUGCAGAGGUGGAGAUGCCGGUGUCCAAAGCCAAUUAGGACACUCCAGUCAGCGCAGAGUCUGUGACGGAUGAGAGCACCACUGUAUGAUGUUUGGGACCCACAUGCAAGUGAAACAGGAAGGUGGUGUUUGGAGAACCAAUGGAGUUUUCAGAAGGAACGUUCAUGCUGAUCUGUGGCAGGACUUCUUCCACACGCUGCUGAACGUGCCGGACUGCAGCUCUUUGCCGUGUCUACACAGCCUUCGCCUGCGACUCGACGCCGUCCUGCAGCAGAAUUACAGCAGCAAGCGGUACAGUCUGAAGAACAGACUGCUGGUGCAGAUCCUGGAGGCUCGCUCCUCACGCAGAUGAUAUUCAAACACUGCCACUUUCUGUAGGUGAGGCACUGACACACACAGCUUUCUGUUCUCAUUGCUACUUUCAUUUUACUCUGACGGUUUUAAAUUGUAAAAAAACAAAUUAAGCAUUUUGUAUAUUUCAAUAAAUCUUGGUUCACAAACUCCCUUGUGUUUUUGCAG